GUGGUGGGGUGUAUGCUGUUCUGGCCUGGGGUUGGGAGCGGGCAGAAACUCACUCACCUAGUUCCAGGUCAGUCGGCGGCGGAAUCGUGACUGUAAGAUCUUGAAAGAGCCACCUCCUGAGGGAUGUUGCCUCCCACAGUGAGCUGGACCCUGUUACAUCAAUUAACAAUCGAGAAAAUCCCCACAGAUCAAUCUGAUCUAGGGAAUCCCUCAGUUUAGGCAGGCUGUGCCUCACUAAAGCUAUCUAGGACAGAGUCCAACAUAUGUAAAAUAGUAAUUGCCACAGUGUAUUAGUUACACCUCCUUCCCUUUGCCUUUAAAAGGGGAUAUGGCAUUUUCAAAAAUAACUGUUGGUGAGAUUUGAAGAAAUUCACACAUGUACAUUGUUGGAGGGAAUCUAGAAUGAUGCUGUGUGUGGAACAUAAUUCUGGCAGUGCCUCCAAAAGCUGAAUGUAGUAUUAUCAUAUGACCUAUAAGUUCUGUGCAGAUGUACUCCAUGAGCUUUGUUUAUAAAAAUUGCACAUGAUUAUACAUAAUUAUUCACAUUGUGCAUUUUUUUAAAUACAGGGUUUCUCUGUAGCUUUGGAGCCUGUCCUGGAACUCCCUCUGUAGACCAUGCUGGCCUCAAACUCACAGAGAUCCUCCAAUCUCUGUCUCCUGAGUGCUGGGAUUAAAGGUGUGUAUCACCACCUCCUGGCUCACAUUAUACAUCCUUAUUCCUAAUAGUAAAAAUUAUGGCUACAACCCAAAUGUUUAUCAACUGGUGAAUAGUUAGAUAAAAUAUGGUAUGUAUCGUAUACUGGAAUUUUCAACUGCAGAAAGGAUAUAAGGAGUGAUAAAUACCACAAAAGGAUAAACACAAAACACAUUGUACUAAGUGAAAAAAGGCAACCACAAAACUCUACUUACUGUAUGCACUCAGCUGUAUGAAAUGUUCAGAAUAGACAAAUCUAGAGACAGUAGACCUUUGGUUUCUUAGAAAUAGAUGAAUUGGAGUUUACAGAAGGUCAUAGCUAAAAGGCACAGGCAACUUCUAAGGGUGAUGGAGUUAUCCUUUAAUUACCUGGUGGUAAUGUCUGGACCACUUUAUGAAUAUAGCAACAACUACAUACUUGAACACUUUAAAGAGGUGAAAUUUACACUAUGAUUAUUAUAUUUUAAUUAAUUAAACUUUCUGGAAGAGACAAUACUUGUCUAAAUGAACAGUUUAACGGUUUGGAUAAGAAUGGCCCCCAAAGGCUCAUAGAUUUGAAUGUUUGAGAAUGGCAUUAAUUAUUUGAAAGGACUAGGAGGUGUGGCCUUCUUGGAAGAAGUGAGUCAUUGGGAGUGGGCUUUGAGGUUUAAAAAGCCCACAGCAGGCCCAGCAUGGCUCUAUUUUCCUGCUGUCUGCUGAUGCAGGUUUAGAACUCUCAACUACUUUUUUCCAGCACCACGUCUGCUUCUCACCCAACAGGCUCUUUGCCAUGAUGACAAUGGAUUAAACCUCUGAAUUGCAGACUAGCCCCCAGCUAAAUGCUUUCCUUUAAAAGAGUUGUCAUGGUCAUAGUGUCUCUUCACAGCAAUAGAGCACUGACAAAGAUAAACAGCAAGUUCAUAUUUUUAAUAGUACACACAGAAACUUUACAUUUACAAGGUGCUUAUCACAGUGACCUGUAUGCAGAGGGACUUUCAGUGGAGGGAGACCUGAGCAGGCGGGAGACCAGUGAGGAAAUGAGAUUUUUCAAAAACAUAAAAUUUAAUAUUUAAAGUGAUUUGUAGCUUUAAUACUUUAUAUUGAAAUGUAAGCCAUAUGAGUAUAUUAUUUUAUUAAAAAUAGGAAUAAAAGCCAUAUAUCUUGCAUUUGGGGAUUUUCUUAUGUGAUAAUGAAGGUUAAAUGCAGGGUUUCACACUUCUCUACCAAUGAGCUACACAUCUAGCCUCUCCAUCAUUUUUACUUUUUUUCUGAGUCAGAUUCUUGCUAAGUUCACUAGACUCUCAUCUGAACUUCUUCAGAGGCUGAGAUUAUAGAUGCGUCUCACCAUGCUCAUUAUGUUAGAAUUUUAUCCCAGUUAGCUUGGUCUCCUAGAUGUGAGAAAUUGAGUACACAUAUACUGUUUGUUUUGAGAAACUUGAUUAAUUAUUAGUUUCCUUUACUACUUACAAUGCUUAGUUUACAUCCUGGGGAACCCUUUCUCUUAAGGAUGCAGGGUUUUCUAAAACUGAUUUUUCUUCUUUAUUUAUUUGUUUUACCUAUAUUGAAUAGAAACAAGUUCAAAUAAUAAAUAUUUAUGUAUGUGUAUGUAUAUGUGUGUAUGCAUAUGUAGACAUGAUUAGUGAAGCAAAAUAGUUUCACAUAAUAUUCUUACACUCUUUUAAAUUCUCCAAAAAAGUAGGAGAUACACUUGUAUAUACACAAACAUACAUACACAGAUUAACUCAUAGUAAGUAUGAACAUUUUAACAUCUUAGGAUUCUCACUUUUAGAAAAAUACAGCAUGUUCCUAUUUGCAUGUAAUAUCAAGCAUGUUUUUUACCCAAAAAGCAAUUCUGUCUUGUCUGGGAGACAAAUGAGUCCAAAUCUUCAGCUUAGCAUUUUAUGUCUCUUACUGAAAACUUCUUGACAAGGUCAGAAACUCCUGGUUCUGAGUAUCUCAAACCUGUUUGUCUCCACAUUCAUCACAUGACAGAACUGAAUGAGUUCCAGUUUGGGCAUCUGGACUACUCAUGGAAAUUUUAUCUUGGAAGGCCAGCAAUUACCUACACACAGAAAGAUGAUAGGUGUCCACACUAAAAUAUCCCACUAAGUCCUAGCUAAAUGUGUAUCUAAGUCCACUGUCAUCUAAGCCAGAUCUUUGGGACACUUCUGGCCAUUCCAGUACCACCCAAAAAGAUGAAAAAGUGAAGAAGGAAUACAAUCACAGAAAGAAAAAGGAUUUAUCCAUGUGAAUUACUUCUGGAGCUUCUCUUGGCUUUGCAAGAGGCCUAUGCAAGCUAGGAGUCUAAAGCUCAAGGUUCCUUAUUUCCUGGCCAACUCUUCCCUGUUUAUUCCUUAUAAUUAGAAAUGUUAACAAAAACAUGGUAUGCAAUAGUUACUCUGUACUGCACAUAUUGGUAGUAUCUAAAUUUUAUAGUUUGAUGCAUUUGGUACUGAUGCAUAUAUGCAUCCUCUAUAUCUCUUAGAAAACAUGCUGAUCAGUGAGAUGACUCAGCAGGGAACAGCUUGCCAACAAGCCUAAUGACCUGAGUUCAAUCCUUGGGGCCCACAUAGUAGGAGAAAACCAACUUCCCCAAGUUGUCCUGAUUUCCAUAUGUGUGCUGAGGUGUGCACAUGCCUUCCACAAAAUAAAUGAGUGAAAAAAUAAUUCCAGCAUUCAGGAGGCAGAGGCAGAGAACUCUGUGAGUUCAAGGCCAGCCUGGUCUACAGAGUGAGUUCCAGAACAACUAGGACUAUUUCACAAAGAAACCCUUUCUUGAAAAACCAAAACAAACAAACAAACAAAAGAAGUGUAACUUUCGGGUGUCUGUGUCGUGUAUGUGUGUGUAUGUGCAGGUGGGCAAGUGUGUAUGUACAAGCAUACAAAGGUGAGAAGUCCAUAGGUAUCUCCCUUAAUAUUGCCCACCAAUUCAUCAAGACUAAUUGGCCAAGAGCUUAGGGAGGGUCCUGUUUCUGCCUCCACAGUACUGUUAUUACAGAUGCUCACCACCACAAUGGGAAUCCAGACUCGACCUCUCAUGCUUACACUGCAAGCACAUUACUGGCCGGGCCAUCUCAUCAACCCCCACAACAGGUGAUUCAUGACACCUAUAACCUGGAUAUGUUUUUUGGAAAGUUAAAUGUGUAUGAGAAAAUGUUUAACUAUGUAGUAGCCAACUUAUAAACAGUAUCUAUAGCAUCCUGUUACUCAUCAAACCUCCCCAUUAGAAGUGCUGAAUGUCAGGCUAGGAUACAGCACAGUUAGAGGGCUUUUGUAGCAUGUGCAAGGUCCUGGUGUGAUUCCCCCCGCAAAGCAAAACAAUACAAAACAUGAAAUAUGCUUUCUUGUGAAAUCUUUUUCGUAGUACAACAAUGAUAAAAGCUGUGUCUUUUAAAUUCCACUUGUUGAGUCAUGCCUUCACAAACAGUAUUUGAGGUAAAGCUGUGAGUCUCAACAUUAAAUAAUUCCACCACAUUUUCCUCCAUUUUAAUUUAUUUACUUUUAUUUUCUUUUUUGGUGCAUGUUCAUACUGUAUGUGUGUAUAUGUGGAUGAACGUGGAUGGAAUUGUGUGUGCAUGCACGCGAGGUCCAGAAGUCAGUGUGAAGAGUCUCCCACUAUUACCCUCACCUUAUCUUUUGAGAUGGUGUCUCUCACUGGUCACUGAUUGGCUACUAGGCAGGUCACUGAGCUCUAGGGAUCCAUCUGUCUCUUUCUAAAGGCUCACACCACCUCAGCCUUUAUGGAAGUGUCAGGCAUCUGAACUCCUGUCCUCAUGUUUACACAGUAGGCAUUUCACUGACUGAGACAUCUCACCAGCCCUUGAGUAUUUUUAGAAGAAAAUUUCCCAGUAAUGACUUUAGUAAAAACAAUAACAGGAGCAACAAAAUGACAACAAAAAGUCAAAAUCUUCCAAAUAGAACUAUUUUUCCUCAUUUAAAAAUAUUUCUGGUACUCACAAUUGCAUAGUUUAACAGCCAUGUGACUCUACCAUAAGGAAGACAUACUCUUGGUACUAAAAGAAGAUACCAAGAGGGGGGAUGAUUCUUCUGGAGGAAUUCAUUCCCUUUGUGGAUGAAAAUCGCUUUGAGAACAGGCAUACCAAUUUGUGUAGGUGUAUUUAAAACAGUAUUAUCGUAUCACUAUAACUUACUGGAGAAUAUGUGAGUUGGCAGUCAGUGUAUUCAAUAUUCUAAGUUUAGUAUUCUCAAUGUGAUUGGGUAGAUCAAAACAUAAAUUUGGGAUUCCAAGGAAUGAACUCUUGGGUAGCAAAAUUAGAUUAAUGGCCAUUUUUAAAUUGAUAAGCAUAAUAUAUCUGAUUUGCACAUCCUAACUGUAUGAUAAUGUUUACAUGUGACUCAUCCUAUUCCAUAUAAAUGAGUAAUGUUAUUUAUGCAAAUUACCAAGGACAUUGCCUAGCACAAAGGAAAUAUGUUAGCAUGUUAAUGCAACCACUUCCUUCCAGUUAAAUUUAAUAAAGACACUAGUUAGAAAUCAUUAUAUCCAAAGUUAUGCUGGACUGUCUAAGAAAAUAUAUCUGUUUAACUUAUUUAAGUAUAAAUGUAGGUCAUGAUUUUAAGAUCCAUUCUAACAAAUAUACAUUUAGGUUUCAGCCUAUGAGAAGCAAGAAGAAUACUAUCUAAAAGAUUAUGAAUUCUCUUUACUUUGAGGAGUUUAUAGCUUUUUGCCAUAAUUUGUGGGUAAAACUGUAAAGUAGGCCUAUGCUGUAACUAAAUUUGGAGGCAGUCAUACAGCGAGACCUGGAGUGUCCAGACAGAAUGUGGGCUGAACUCUUUCUGAGUGGACAGAGCAUCUGGGCAUCAGUGAUAGAAUCUUCCUUACAGGAGAAAUGUUUAAUUCAACUUGAGACUUUAGGAAAGUUGUCUAAGAUAAACAAGAGCUUGACAGGUCUUUCACUUCCCAGGAUCAGGAAAUUGAAUGAGAACCCAAGAUCUAAAGUCCCUGUGUCAGCUGGGACUUGGGUCUGAGAAGAGCUGGGACUGGUAAUAUGGGCUGGAUGAACCUUAUAUUCAGAGAACUAGGAAGGGACCUUCACCAGCAGCAUGUUUUGUGGAUAAAAUCAAAAGCUGUGGAUUCCUUCCAGACUAAUAUGGUUUGAUCAAGCAAGACCCCUGAAGCUGAGAUGAUACAGUCUUACAGACUAUGAAAACAAGGACUUGGUCGAAUUUCUGUGUUUUAUCAUGAUCCCUAUGGUAUGGACAUCACCCCCAAUCAGCAGGAAGCAGUUUGGAAUGAACUACGCCUAAAUUCCCAAAUAUUGUUUAUAAAUGUUUGUUUUCAUUUAAAUGGAGUUGGUUAUAAAUGAUAAUGAGCAUAGUCAAUCUCUUUUCUUAAAAAAGGGGGGAUAUAGGAUAUAGGAAUGAAUACUUUGCAUUGAUAUGGACUUUCAUUUAUUGAUGCAACUUUAAGAUCAAUUUUGUGAUAUGUAUAUGUCUCCUCUUGUUUAGAUAUUGUGUUUAUACAGAUCUUUUAAAAUGAUAUACAUAAUUAAAUACAGGUUAUAUAGUUAUCUAUAAUAGUCAGAACUUAUAAUUAGGUUAGUUAGGUUUUCUAGAUAUACAGAGAUGUAUUUGAGAUGGAUAGGUAUUCUUUAAUUAAAUCUUUCAAAGACCGACAGAAUAUAUGGCAUUUAAAUGGUUUAGGGUUUUUCUUGGCAGUGAGACACAACUGCUCCUGGCACACCAAUUACAUCAGAAAGGAGGAUGGGCAUCGAAGAAACUCGUUAUGGAGUUUGCUUUCAACAUGGCAAGAUUAGCCAUUUGGGCAAGAAACUACUCUUGCCUGGAUUGUUUGUUGCUGUAUAAACUGGACGUGCAGGACCCACAAGAAAGUGACUGCUGAACUUACAAAACAAGACAGUACUGAAGGGUCCUGUUGAAAUGCAGAAGUGUGCCAGACACACAGCAGAUGUGGUGCUGGAGCUCAGAGUCCUACAUCUUGACUCAGAGGCAACAGGAAGUCAGCUGGCUGUCACACUGUGGGAAACUUGAGCAAAAGAGUCCUUACAGCCCACCCUCACAGUGACACACUUCCUUUAAGAAGGCUACAACUCCCAAUAGUGCCACUCCCUUUGGGGGCCAUAUUCUUUCAAACCACCACACUUGGGUGCAGCUUCCCUGUCAUAUAUAGAAGACACAGCCUCACAGCAGACAUCCUGUCUCUCUGGCUUUUACGAUCUUCUUAAUGCUUACAGAAGGCAUGCAAAACCUUGCAUCUAUUCCAUCUCUAGAUGUAUCUCUGCUUCAGCCAAACCUCAUUACACACUGUUGCUUUCCAGUGUCUUAUCAGCCAUGUGUUUAAGUGCUUCACCCUGAUUAGAACACACUUCCUGUCAUGUAACAUGAAAAAUAAAAAGCCCCAGAGACUGAUAUUGGGGUUCAAACUUCAAGCUGAAGAUCAGAAAAGAAAAGCAGCCAAUCCUAGCUUUUACCUUUACCUCAGGCUGAAAAGGCUGAUCCUGCUGCCUCUCCUCAGAGUGACUGGAGAUUCCUGAGACUGAAUGUCCUCCUAUCCUCAAUGUGUCUGGAGGAUGAAUUCUCAAUACUGAGACCUUGCUCCUGUCUUAUAUACCUCUCAUGAGUUCCAGGAUUAAAGGUGUGAGCUCUAAUUCUCUUUUAAACUGAUUUACUCUAAUGUGUCCUUGGGCGGCCUUGAAUUUAGAGAGAUCCAUCUGCCUUUAACUCCUGAAUCCUGGGAUUAAAGGUGUGUACUACCACCUACUGACCUCUAUAGCUUGUGGCUGACUUUGCUUUCUGAAUCCUCAGGCAAGCUUUAAUAAAUCAUAAAUGAUACAUCACCACACUAUCCUCACCUCAGAUUCACCUGGGAAAAUGGCUUGGACUUUACCAAGACUUAACCCAACUGACACUUACUUCUUGUUUCACACCUUACCUCUUUGCCAUUGUGUCAAGGAGGUGUCUGGGUAGUCACUUCCCACUGAUAUACACAAUCUCUUCUUUUUGAGCACUGCAAUCAGUAGCAUUUCAACAUAGCUCCCACCAUAUCUUACCGCAUGGCUUUCCACUCCUGAAUCUCUCUCCCUCUGCUGUGGGCUCCUCAGGAGUGGAGGUCAAGUUAGUUGCAACAUGUCUCAAGUCACAGUUUGUCCAAUGCCCAUUAAAUGUAUAUUGAAUUAAAAGUUGGAAAAUCUAUGAGUGAACAGAUGUUUGUGAGGGGUGUAAGUGAAUGGACACUGAAAUCAGACUGGAUAGGUAUCUAUAAUUCUGUUCAAUUAAAUGUGAUAGUGCGCUGGGCAGUGGUGGCACACGCCUUUAAUCUGAGCACGUGGAAGGCAGAUCUCUGAGUUCAAGGCCAGACUGAUCUACAAAGCAAGUUUCAGGACAGCCAGGAUUACACAGAGAAAUCCUGUCUCAAACCACUCCCCUACAAAUGUGACAGUGUUAUGUAAACUUCAGAGACAACCUCACAGCAACUCUGGAGCUAAAAUUCAAACCCAGAUCUUCCAAACCAGCACUGUCUGUAAUAUUGCCUUCUAAAUUUAAAAUAUUGGAUCUAGGGUCACAGCUCAUUGGCAAAGCAUUCACCUAGUGCAUGCAAGACCUUAGGCUCAAUAUCUGUUACUACAAAUAUAAUAGGUAAGUAAGUAACAAUAAAGCUAAAAUGGCAAAUUUGAAAACAUUGCAUAACAGGUCAGUAAUAUAGUUUGUUCAGGUUAUUAAGCUGGGUCUUUUUAAAUAGAAGAGACAAGUAAUCCCUUCCUUCAAUACAUUUAACUGCUUUUUGCUUCCUUAUGUCCCCUACUUGUCCCAUAAUGAAAGGGUUCAUUAAAAUUUAGUCACAGUUAUCUUUGGUUGUGCUAAUAAAAUGUUAAUAUUCUUACCAUCCAAACUCAAGCUGGUACAAAAAAAAAAAACUUGCUUCAAAGCGAGUCUAUUUUAUAAAGAUUUCUUCCUCCACUUCCUCCCUGCUACUAUUUCAGCAGUAAUGAAAAUGUCAGGACAUUGGUCAGGUGUUGCCUCUCUCAUAUCCCUAGUUCUGUAGCUCACUCCAGGAACACCAUCCAUGGAUGCUGCCAUCACCUAAGCUACAAAGGGAAAGCAACCAUGUCCUCUUGCCAGUAAUGUUUGAGCACCAUGUGAGAUUUCACCCCCACAAGGUUCAACACAUACCAAGUAUGAUAAACAUGGCAGGUCUUCCUUGUGUGAGUUCAACUCAUCACAAAACAGGCCUUUGAAUUCUUCAGUGCAAUAAGAUCAGUUCAAUGCACAAGUCUUGUCUCAUAAAGCAAAUUGGAACUUCUUUACCAAAAAAAAAUGAUAUCUCUUCAUCCUUCCCACACCCCCCUCCAUUCCAAAGGCUUCCUGAUUGCUCCUCACUUUCCCCAGGUGUGUGCACUGAUAAGAUACUUUGCAAUGAUAUGUAGUGACUUGUCAUUUUCACAGACUUCAAAUUGAAAAAAAAGCCCUCUCCUAGGACUUCAGGUUGUCACCAAGGAAAUCAGGGAGUUGAUAUGGCCUCAGCACUGUCACUGUGUGUCUUGUCUGUGAAUGUGACUCAGAGAGAGAAGGAGAAAUAAAGCCCAUUCUGCCUCAGAACUGCGGAGAUUAGAAAGACUCCAUUCUUGAUAAUCUCUGGAGGAAGGAGAGUCCAGACUUGAUUACGUAGUUUUCCCAGAGCCCUCUAUUAAAAUCUAAUAUGUGUAGCAUUUAAUUUUUAAUCACAUAUAUGCAAUUAAAACAGCCAUCUAAGUUUUUGCAUGUGCUUCUAUAGACUAGAAAACCAUCAAUUCUGAGGUCAAGGGCAUCUGUGCUCCUUCAUACAGAAGGGAGUCUCCCGUAUGAGCAGCCAACAAAGGGAAACCACAAUAGAAAUCUAGAGAACAUAGAUGAGUUAAUAAUUAUUCCCAUUUUACAAGUUUUACAACAGCCACAAUACAACCAAGCCCCACAAAACUAAGUGUUUGGCCUUAACUCUCUUACAUUCUAAACUGUGGACCAAGGAUCUAAUUCAACUUCAUUUUUCCUUCCUAUUCCCUCCCUUUCCUUCCUCUCUCCUUCCCCUCCUCUCCCAUCCCCCCUUUCCUUCCAUCCCCUUUCCUCCUCUUAUCCUUUGUGCAUUCAAAGCAAGCGCCCCACCAAGUAGCCAUGUCUCAGACCCCGAACCCUCACUUAUAAUUAUAUCAACAUUUUGCCAUGAAAAUUCAUAAUAUACAAAUAUGAAUACCAUAAACUGGAGUGAGGUCCAUGAACUUAAAUUUGAACAAAGUAUUUCAUAGGUGCAGAUAGAAUAAAACAGCACAACAAACUCACAAACCUGUCAGCAUGAACUGAGGACAUUUUAUGUGGCAGAGAUGACUAUUAUACCAUUUCUCUUUUGGCAGAACUUAUAUUUACUUACAGUAAAUACUUUAAAGAUAGACUUUAAGGGCUAAAAAGACAAUAAUAUUUUAACUAAUGACUAGAC
rnacentral:lncRNA from 1 species